rnacentral:rRNA from 1 species
AACGAACGCGGCGGCGCGUCUUAAGCAUGCAAGUCGAACGGUAAGGGAGAGCUUGCUCUCCCCAGAGUGGCGGACUGGUGAGUAACGCGUGGGUGACCUGCCCUGAAGAUGGGGAUAGCUAGUAGAAAUAUUAGAUAAUACCGAGUGUGCUCAUUUACAUAAAGGUGAAUGAGGAAAGGAGCUACGGCUCCGCUUCAGGAUGGGCCCGCGUCCCAUUAGCUGGUUGGUGAGGUAAAGGCCCACCAAGGCAACGAUGGGUAUCCGGCCUGAGAGGGUGAACGGACACAUUGGGACUGAGAUACGGCCCAAACUCCUACGGGAGGCAGCAGCUAAGAAUCUUCCGCAAUGGACGAAAGUCUGACGGAGCGACGCCGUGUGAAUGAAGAAGGCCGAAAGGUU